UACAGAGGGUGCGAGCGUUGUCCGGAAUCACUGGGCGUAAAGGGCGCGUAGGCGGUCUGCUAAGCGUGUGGUGAAAGCCCGGGGCUCAACCCCGGGUCGGCCGUGCGAACUGGUGGACUGGAGCUUGUCAGAGGCAGGCGGAAUUCCGGGUGUAGCGGUGGACUGCGUAGAGAUCCGGAGGAAGACCGGUGGCGAAGGCGGUCUGCUGGGCAGUUUCUGACACUGAGGCGCGACAGCGUGGGGAGCAAACAGG
rnacentral:rRNA from 1 species